ACUCUCACUAUGCCCCCGUAACAGAGUCAGUUUUUAGGCGGAGGGUGAGAAUGGCUUGAAAAUUUGCUGAAUGCUAUCCAUCUCCCAGCCCCCAGAGAAAAGGGCUUUAGUUCCUCCCCCUGCCUGUGAAGUCUGCAGGCCAGAUUCGCGCCCUCCCCUGAGUUCUGGCCAGGAGGCUUCUUGCCCUGUUCAAAUGGUUACAAAGUUCAGCUAGAGAAUUCCUUCUCCCUGUAGAGUUUUACCCCCUGCUCCUCUGGCCGCCCUCCGGAUGGAUCUUUGUGUUGCCAGGCAGGAAUGGGCUGCUUGGGGACCCAGUGAGCUCCGAGGGCCUUUCUGCUGCUUCCUGUACCCCUGUAUUUCGCUCAGCUCUCUGACUUGACUCAGCUCCAGACAUCUACCCCUGGAGAAAGAGCCCAAUGAGAAGUAAUCUCUGAAGCCCAGAUUUCCUAAGGAUGAAGCUUCAGGAGAGGCCUUAUCAAUCCUGACAACAAACUUUUCUCGUCAAUUUAGUUUCAUUUAAUGGAAGUUUUAAAUGUGUAAAGUUCAGAAGGCUAUUAAAAUUGGUUCCAGCUAUCUAAGAUACACACACAACCACACACGCGCACACACGGUAGAGAUAAAUAUGUUCGAAAAUCCAGCUCAAUGUUACUAGAAAAUUUGAUCAGAAUCUGGUGAAAUAAAUAGUAAACUUACUAAAAAUGCCAAAUAUCCCAGAAGCUGCUUAACAUUUGAUCAAAAGCUCUGUCCAGUCAAUUCCUGCUUCUUUCAAAAAUACUCUGCUGAAAAGCCAAAGGAGAAAUGGGGCUGGUACCUUCAAUAUAGAGAAUUCCAAGUAAGAUUAGAUCCCAGAAGGCUUAGUGUGGCUUUCUAGGACUCUCACUAUUAGGCAGUAACCUACCAUUCACCUCUGUUUCCCAGAUUCACCUUGUUAUACCUUAUAACUUAAAAUAUAAAUUCCAACAAUGUACUGCACUCAAAAAAAUUAUUUCUCAAUUUGUUUGCUCAUACUAUUGAUUUUUUUCUAGAAUCUAAAUAAUUGUGAAUUAACUAUGAUAGCAGUAUGCACAAACAGUAAGUGAAAUCAGACCUAUUAAUUCUGAGAGGAAGGAGGUGUCAGGAUUUUCACAGAAGAAGAGCACUAAGGCCAGGCGCAGUGGCUCAUGCCUGUAAUCCCAGCACUUUGGGAGGCUGAGGCAGGCGGAUCAGGAGGUCAGGAGUUCUAGACCAGCCAGACAAACAUGGUGAAACCCCGUCUCUACUAAAAAUACAAAAAUUACACGCCUGUAAUCCCAGCUACUCAGGAGGCUGAGGCAGAAGAAUCGCUUAAACCCGGGAGGCGGAGGUUGCAGUGAGCUGAGAUCGCGCGACUGCACUCCAGCUUGGGCGACAGAGCAAGACUCCAUCAAAAAAAAAAAAAAAAAAAAAAAAGCAAAGCACUAAAUCUCGUAUGUGAAAGAUGAGUAGAUUUUUCCUAACAGGAGCAAUAAAAAUUAGAGCUAAAAAUAAUUUCAUGAAGCAAAAUAUUCAAAGAAGAUGAAGAAUGAAUAAAGACAAUUGAUCUGGUAAUUCACAAGCCAAGCUUCAGUAAGUGGUAGGAUAGACGCUGAUUUUUAAGUGUAAAAUGAGCAAAUUAUGCUGAAUAAAGAAAAUUAUUUAAAAAUUGUCAAGAAAUAACUAGAGACCCAGGGAAGACAAUUUUCAUUUUAAGGCUUAAUAAUGUUUGCAGACUGAAGGAAAAGAUGCAGUGGAGGAUGAGAGACCUUAGCAGGGGAUUAAAAUAGUGGAGCAUUUUUGUGGCAAUGCCAUUCAAUAAGAAGACAGCAUUGGAAAGAAGAGAGACAUUUAUUCCUCCUAGGUAGGAAGCAAAAAGUAGAAAUUUGUAAAGAAAAAAGUAUUGGGAGAUAAAGAAGAAUCACAGGUGUAAUCCUGAACAUCCUAAAUCAAAAUUAUUGUUUAUGUAUUUCUCCUUCCAGAAAUGAAACUUGUAAUAGACGAUCUGUGGCUUAAUAACCUUCUAUCUCCAGCACCUGACGUAUGGCAGGUCUCUCAAUAUAUAAUUAAGAUAUGGAUCUAUGGAGGUACAAUAAUUCUUGUUAUAUGAAUCACUAUUCCUGAAGUUGGAGUAUAUUGGCUCAUCUGGGAAUAGGGAAAUUGGCAGUUAGUUGAGAGACCAUUGGAACACCUGCUGAAAGAAACGUGAUAAUGAUUCAAGGGGAGGAAAAAAAAAAAAAAGAAAACCAAGUGAGGAAUGACCACAAUAACACUAACUUGAAGUGGAUGCAGUCGGCAUAUUUUUGAAAAUGUUUUAAAUCAACAACUUCUAUUUGGAGAGCAGAUGUAAUUACACCAGACAGCAGAGAUAAUAAAUAAAUAUCAGUGCAGUCACAGUGGUGUGGCCGGAGUAUCAGUGCCUCGGUUGCUAUGGGCAGCAGAAGACACAGAUGCCUCUGGCAUCCUAGCUGGCAAUGAAGAAAAAUAAACACAGAAUUAGGCUUCAGGUUAGAGAAUAACAGAAUAAUAGAGGUUAGGAUUUAGACAGAAAAAAACAGGCUUGCUGGAGUUAUGGAAGUGGGAGAGACGAAACAAGUGAAAAAGAACUUCUCUUCUUGUAAUUUCUCAUGUUCAAGGAAAGGAAAUGUCAGCAUUCAAAAUUGCAGAGAAUGAGAAAACAAAUGUGAUGAUUUUGAUCAAGGUCAUGUUUAUGCCGGUGAUUAACAGAUAAAAUGAAGAGUCCUUGGCAUCAUAGGAGGGACUCUGAGCCAGAGUGCUAAAAGGACCAUCUACUUAAAUGAUGGAGUUCAUAAUAAGAUUGGAGUGGAGAAAAAUUAUGAAGCAAGUACUCAGAAAAUGAGAAUGUUAGGAGGUUACAGGUUGAUGGCUUUAAGGAUGGAGAGAAUAUACGUUAUGAUAAACAUAAAAAAGUGGAUGGUGGAACAAAAGUUGCCUGAAAUUGGCAGCUGUGAGUAAUUAAUCUUUAACAUCUCUUCCUUACUUAAGUAGAAAAAGGGCCUCCAUCAAAAUGGUAGUGAGAAUUUUAUCCAUCAGAGACAACACACUUUCAGUUGCAGAUGAGACAUGGAAAAUAUUCUCACACAAAAUGUGGUCAAGAAAAGGAGUAAUAGUACUUAUUUUUCUAAUUGAAUACAUAAUAAUAUUAAUAUACAUUAUCUGUAAAUAUUCAUAUUGAUCAUGGGAGAGGUAAUCAGAAUAUAUAAUAUUGACAGCUGAAUUGAAAUUAAUAUAUUUUUCUAAAAAAAUGAGAUUAUGGGUAAUGAACCAAUAUUGGCUAGGUGAAAAUUGUCUAGUUUUUACAACUAGAAAUGCUUCCUCUCAAACACUUAUCAAAAUCACAGGUGUAUUUUAGGCUGCUAUAUUUGCCAAAUGAAAACAGGAUACUGACAUUCAUACACACAAACAUGCAAGCAUAUGCUGAAAUUUUCAUUCCAGAUGUCUACAAAAGAGAACAGAUAAUACGAAGUUCGUUACCUAUUUCAAGUUACCUCUGAGAUUCCUUACGCUGAAGACAAAUAUUCUAUUAAAAAAGAGUCCUUAAAUAGGCCAUAAGAACCCGAAUCCUUUCAUAAAGAGUGAAAGAGUAUGGUUAUUUUUGAUAACAAUUAUUAUCAAAAUAAAUUAUUUUUACUUCUAAAUUAGUACUGAUUACAUCUGAAGGUUUUUGUUUCUCUGAUACCAGGAUUUAAAAUUAUUUCAGAAAGCAUGAUUAGUUUUAGUGUCUGUAGAUCUUUGCUGUCAGUGAAUUAAAGUAUUUUUGAAAAAGGAAUAUGUAUUCCUGAAAAGUGAUCUAUACUUUAUAGAAAAUUACCUAUUUGUGUAAAUAUAGGAAAACAGCUCUAACAUUAAAAUAUGUGCAUCAAUUGGAUUCAGAGUGUUGCAUGAGGUUUCAACUUUAAAGAAGUAUUUAUAACAUUUGGAGAAACAAAAUUAACAAGAAAAAGUAAAACCAAAAUAUUAAAAAUAAAGGUAAUAUUCCUCAUCAGAAAAUAAGAAAAAAAUACCAACAAUUGUGGUAAUACCAAAGUGAUUUUAAAAAUACAUUUUUUUUUUUUGUUCAUUGGUUGUCUUGUUCAAUUCAGUCAAACAUAAGCCAACAAGAUAAGACUCCACAUAGAUCUUUUUAAGUUACCAAGUGUUGUGUGUGCCGCUCUAACUGUCCAUGGUUUCUGUUUUUUCUACUAAAAUUCUAGCAUACUAAAUUCUGUAUGGUAUUUUUUCUAGCAUUAUCUCUGGAAAAUUAGACCAGUGACUAAUACAAUUACUCUUUUAGUUUUCAUAGAUUUGACUAUAUGUCUGAGCCUGGAGUUGUUUGCGUUUAUUCUAUUUCGGAGUCACUCAGUUUCCUGAGUCUAUAGAUUAGUUUUUCACCAAAUUUGGGAAGUUUUCAGUCAUUAUUUCCUCAAGUAAUUGUUAAGCCCCAUAUCCUUUUUCCUCUCAUUCUAGGACUGCAGUGACACAAACAUUAACUAUGUCAUUAUUGCUCCAGAAGUCUUUGAGGCUCAGUUUUUUUUUUUCUUAUCUGUUUUCUCUCGUUGUUUAGAUUGGGUAAUCUCUACUAAUCUACCUUAAAUCUUACUGAUCCUUUCCUCUGUCAUUUCCAUUUUGUGAUUUUGUCCAUAUGCUGAGAUUGCUAUUUGGAAUAUUUUUACAGUACCUUGUUUAACAUUCUUGCUCAAUAAUUUUAACAUUUGUAUCAUCUUAGUGUUAUAGUCUAUUGAUUGUCGUUUCUUACUUGAUUUGAGAUUCUCCUAGUCCUUAGUAUGUCAAGUGACUUUGGACUAUAAUUUGGACACUACAUGUAUUAUGACGUAAGACUAAAGUUAUUACUUCGAUCUUUUACUUAAGUGGGUAUUCCACCUGUUUAGUUUCAAAAUACAUGUCCUAGCUCACUUUUGUUAGCUAUUGUUCAAAUUUCAAUUUGGUUUCUAAAUCCCCUGGAGUCCAGUAUCCCCCAGUCACAGUUGUAUGUGACUCAGGUGACAGGACUCUGCCCCACAAUCUUCUCAUCAUGGACUGGGGAGACAGAGGAAAAUUACUUCACUGCCACAGAGGAUGGUGGAAUUCAGAGUUCCAGGCACAUGUCCAUAGGGAAAUGGCACUUACACAUUAAAACUGGUCAGAAAUGAAUGGCAGAGUGACACCCACAGGCUUCAGUAGAUAGCGGUGCCUCCUGAUACUGGGAUGGGGUGGAGAACAGGCUUACGCCCCAUAUCUCUGCAGGGAUGGUGAGACUGCCUGAAUACCAUGGAAGAGGGAGAUGGAAGUCUGAGCUGUGCACAUAAGCUCCACUGGGGAGAGGUACAACCCAGUUACUGCAGAAGAAGGGAGAAAGUCAGAGGGGUCAUAGUCUCUACGGGGAAGGAAGGCCAUCUCAUUCCUGCAGAAGGUGGGUAGAUGUGAGUUCCACCCACAACCUCCAUGGUGGGGGGAUGCUACCUCCUUACUCCAGGAAGAGGGUGGAAGACAGGGUUCUAUCCCCAGUCCCACAGUUAUAGCACUCAUUGAGGUGGAGAUAGAACACAUUUUUUUUCAUAGUAUUCCUCUUGAAGAAAGAUAAGUAUGGUUAAAAUAUUUCUGCUAUGCUGGGUUACCCUUUUUCCUGGUACUUUCACUAGAGACAGAUGAUACAGAAGAGAAAGGGUGGGAGGGGGGGAGAGAUAUAGACCACAAAGAAAAAUAGAAAGGUGAAUAAUUCCUGAUAAUAUUAGAUGAGGUUAUUUAUUAAGACCUACUUUACACAUUUACUACAAGGUAUAAUUGACAAAAGGUAAAGAUCAUUUGUAAUGAGAAACUUUCUGCCGCUUGUAUAAUACAGUGUCUGUACUUUCACCAAUAGCUUCUCUAUUUAACAUUAUGUGGUUCUAAAUAAUCUUUCAAAACACAUACUAACCUGUUUCUCUGUAAUAUCAUCUCACAGACAGAUUUAAGGAUAAGUUAAGUGUUUUAAAAAUCUAUUUAUAUUAAAUUAUAUAAGAAUGGAGGCAGGAAGACAGAGCUUGGAACAUUAUCUACAAUUAGUGUCUUAUAUUGCCAUGGUCAGAAUGUUUGUGUCCUCCCCCAAAUGUAUAUGUUGAAACCUAAUUCCUAAAUUUGAUGGGGUUUAGGGAAGUGAUUUGGUUAUAAAGGUAGCAACUGUCAUGAAUGGAAUUAGUGCCUUUAUAUGGGGCUGAAGAUACCAGAGUUCUUCCCUUCUACUCUGUCAGGAGAUAGCAACAAGCUGGCUAUCUGCAACCCAGAAGAAGGCCUUCACCAAAACUCAACCAUGCUGGCAUUCUAAUCUAGAACUUCCAGCCUCCAGAGCUGUGACAAAUAAAUUUCUAUUAUUUAUAGGUCAUCCAGUCUAUGGCAUUUUGUUAUAACAGUCCAAACUGACUAAAACAACCACAAAGGCAGAAAAUGCUAGUUUUCUACUAAAUGGUCAUAAAGAAUUGAAUAAGUGAUCAAAAAAACAUGAGACAGCUGUCUGUAAAUUUCUGUACCCCCUUCCUCCAUCGUAAUAAAAAUUUUUAGCUCUACAUACAGAUACAGGAAAUAAAAAAUACUUUCCAAAUUUGCACCUGGGCAUAGCCAAGCAACUAACACUUGCAUUAGGAUGUGGGUAAUGGGUAUGCAUCUGCAUUCCGGGAGAUGCCCUUUGAUAAGGUGUGCCAUCCUUUUUUUCUCUUCCUCUUCUCACUUGUUCAUAUUGAACACUGAAGGGGCAGUAUAGCAUCUUGGGAAGCAGCAGAGUUACCAUAUAGACAAGUAGAGAAAACUUUUGACUUUGCAGAGUGGGGCUGUGUUGACUGCUUGACAUUUUACAAAAGAGAAAAAAUGAACUUCUAUCAUGUUAAUUCUACUCACAUUUGGGAUUGUCUCGUGCUUAAACUCAUAGCCGAACUAAUACAGAAAGGAAGAGAGCAUGAAGAAGUAUAACAUUUC
rnacentral:lncRNA from 1 species